CUUGUGGCAGGGGGCAGUGCUGCAGGGUGAGGGGCUGGUGUCGCCGCCGAGGCCUCUGCCAGUGCCGGCUCCGUCCCGCCUCGCCGAGGGAUGAAACGUGCUUAAGGCCUCUUCGCGCUGAGGGCUCCGCUACGACUCCGCGUUCUUCACCAAGAGAAAUUGAAAGGUUUCUGUCCCCCUACUGGAUCCACACAGAGCCCAGUCCUGGAGAUAGCUUUGUAAAGAAUAACCUCAUUUCAAAACCCAGGCAUCAAUAUUUGGAAGAGCUGCUGAGAAGAAGCUUGUGUGGGGAACUUCUGAUGAAGGACUGAAAAACAAGGAUGCAAAAGGUGAAAUAUUCCUGUGUUAUUCCCAAACCUUGGCCUCAGUUCUGGGCUGUAUUUCAGCACACACCUAAAUACUUUCAUUGAACAGCCGCACCUUCCUAAAUUGAAGCCUUAGUCUGGAAGACAAACAUUCUUCAAACGUUGUUUGGCAGUGUCAGUGCUGGGCACUCACAUCACGCUCUCUGGGGUUUAAAUGUGAGCACCAUGUAAAUACAGUUGACAGAUGCAUCUCUUCAGCAUUCAAAUCCUACCUGGAAAAGCAGAAGCUAAACCAGAAUAUACUGGCCUGAGAUGAAGUGUCCCAUUCCAUUCCCACCAGCUGUGUGUUCGUGCUACAGAGUGAACCCAGAGUUAGGGACAGACAGUGGGGUCUGUCUCAAAGAGUAUCAAAAGCAGGUGCUGUUGCUGUCGGACCAAAGGACAUGGGAAGAACCACAGAACCUGUUGCCAGCGCAGCUCACUAGGACAAGCACAAAUUGUUACCCAGGGAACUAUUGUUAAAACUGUAUGUAUGUGUGUGCACGUGCAUGUAUGACUCCACAAAAUUAUUACUACUUUGAGAAGUCUGACUAUUAAGCAUAAGGCAGAAGCAACUGGUUUGGCACAUCCAGGAAUUCCUAAGAACAUGGUAUGUGAUUUCUGGGACCUGUAUCAGCUGGAAAAGCCUCAUCGUUGAGGAAGGUCACUACCACCUUCUACCAUUCUACAGGAAAGCAAACGUGUCGAAGGAACUAGUUGUUACAUGAUCAACUGUUUCAGGCUUUUAGUUUCAUGCCCAAAUAAAAAAAAAAAAAAAAAGACAUAGUAA